GGUCGCGUAGCGUAAUGGUUAACGCGCUAGUUUCCGGUGAUUAUGUAAGCUAGAGACUGUGGGUUCGAGUCCCACCGUGAUCG